AGUCAGAAGGCUUCUUUGUAUUUCCUCAUGAUUGUAGCUGUGCUCCCUCUCCGUGAUCUGAAGGUCUCCAGGCCUGUGAUGUGAGGGGCUGCUGUGAAGCUUUCUGACAUGCCCUGGAGACAUUUUCCCCAUUGUCUUGGCAGAGCCCAGAAAACACAUGCGUUUUGAAGAGAGGAGGAAGAGAAAUGAUCAGACUUAUGGUGUGUUGCUGCCACAGAGCAUAAAACUGGGGAAGCCCUGGGAACCACAGAAGAUGGAAGGAGGAAGAGAGGAAUGGUGGAAAGACUCUACCAGCUUCCCAGCCCAAGUCUGAUUUGUAUUUAUGGAGUUUUGAGGUAUGGAAUGCAGAAGACAAGUAAAAUUACACAAGAUUAAAAGCAUUGAAAAUCAUCCUGAAACCUGCAAAUGACAUUUCCUGUUACCCACAAAAAAUUAUCAGGUGUGUGUGAUGGUUAAUACUGUGUGUCAACUUGAUUGGAUUGAAGGUUACACAGUACUGAUCCUGGGCGUGUCUGUGGGGGUGUUGCCAAAAGAGAUUAACAUUUGACUCAGUGGGCUGGGAAAGGCCGAUCCACCCUUAAUCUGGAUGGGCACAGUCUAAUCAGUUGCCAGCUUGGCUAGAAUAUAAACAGGAAGAAAAAUGUGAAAACAGAGACUGGCCUAGCCUCCAAGCCCACAUCUUUAUCCCGUGCUGGAUCCUUCCUGCCCUCGAACAUCGGAAUCCAUGUUCUUCAGUUUUGGAAAUAGAACUGACUCUCCUUGUUCCUCAGCCUGCAGAUGGCUUAUUGUGGGACCUCGUGAUCAUGUGAGUCAAUACUUAAUUUUAUAUAUAUAUAUCCCAUUAGUUCUGUCUCUCUAGAGAACCCUGACUAACACAGGGUGUCAGGCAUGAAUCUUUCAACUGGUGAGAAAAAGAUGUCACUUAUUUUCCCUACAUAACCACCAUGGUAUCUUAUGCAUAAUUCACAUUUUUAUCACUUAAAUAUGCUCAAAUAGGUUUGUGGAAAACUAUAAACCUACAAAACUAUAAAGUAUGAACUAUAAGUUUAUCAUAAAUUAUUUCAAUCUCAUGCUUCUAGUUUUCAUUUGCCCCUUUAUCUAAAUUUUGCCCAUGAAAAAUGUUAUUUGGAAAUUAUUAUACUUAAGCCUGUAGAUCCGCCAAUGUAUGGCAAAGCUACUUGAAAUCUAAAUCAACAUUGUAUAUAAAUUUUGUAAUAUAGUAAGGAAAUAAAGAAUUAAAAUUUUUCACUGAAAUGAUGCGCAGUGUGGAAAUAAUAUUGAUACUCAGCACAAAUUCAAUUAUAGAUUUUUAGGUUAAACUUGACUAUCUGUCUCUGAAAAGUCAGACUUUGAUGGAUGAGUUUAUGGAGAAAGUAAUAAUUUCUGGAGGAAGAGGUAACAUCCUCGAGUGAGCAGAAUCUGCCAAGUUAACCAUGAAAAUCAAUAAUAAGCGAAUACUGCAACCAGAAGACAACCUGGUAGUUUAUUUAAAUAUAAUCUCUAGUUAUGACAUAACCCCCAGGAGGUUUCUGACAAGAAAGAGAUUCAUGUUAUGUAGUCAUUCACAUAUAUAGAAUAUUAAAAAAUCAUACUCAACUUUAUUUCUAACCUUUUCCCAAUGACUCACCAUUAAUUGAGAACCCGCUUCAGAUAAUCACCUAGCAGUUUACCGAGGGUCUGGUUUUUCAUCUGUGCUUUCCACUCUCAGCCCAGUUCUCUUGAUCACUUCUCUCCAUCCCACUCCUUCCCAGGAUCCUGGCUUUACCUUCAUAGAAGAGCAUCUAUAAGACAGGCCUUUCCUUUGCCAAUUAGUUACACUUUUCAUACAUAGAAUUAUGCCAAAAAUCUCUGUCUCUUGACUUUUUAAAUGAAAUACUCCCACUCUCACUCCAACUGGAAAGCAAAAGAGAAAACCCUACCCUUUUGCAUAAGCUGAAAAAUCCGUCUUCUAGGGGCCUAAAGAUGAACAGCAUAUCAAGAUGAAUCUGUUGCUACUCAACUGAUGGAUAUUAGUAUUAUCAUUAAGCUGUAGCAAGACCCAGUUUCUCAAUGUUUGGAGGAAGAUGUUUUCUGUCUUCUGUAUUAUUUUCCAACAAUUUCAAAUAAGAAAAAAAGAAGAAGCAGAGUUGCUUAGCAUUAGUAAUCCAAAGGUCUUUCUUUCUUUUUUUUCUGGGACUGAUUAGGAGUGAGUCAAGUGGACAUCCAAAGACCACUGAAUUAC